rnacentral:rRNA from 1 species
UACGGAGGGCGCAAGCGUUGUUCGGAAUUACUGGGCGUAAAGCGCGUGUAGGCGGCCAGGUAAGUCGGAUGUGAAAGCCCGGGGCCCAACCCCGGAACUGCACCCGAUACUGCCCGGCUGGAGUCCCGGAGAGGAUGGCGGAAUUUCCGGUGUAGAGGUGAAAUUCGUAGAGAUCGGAAGGAACGCCCGUGGCGAAAGCGAGGUCCUGGACCCUUUCUGACGCUGAGACGCGAAAGCCAGGGGAGCAAACAGG